rnacentral:rRNA from 1 species
GACGUAGGGCGCGAGCGUUGUCCGGAUUUAUUGGGCGUAAAGAGCUCGUAGGCGGCUUGUCGCGUCGACUGUGAAAACUCGGGGCUCAACUCCGAGCUUGCAGUCGAUACGGGCAGGCUAGAGUUCGGUAGGGGGAGACUGGAAUUCCUGGUGUAGCGGUGAAAUGCGCAGAUAUCAGGAGGAACACCGGUGGCGAAGGCGGGUCUCUGGGCCGAUACUGACGCUGAGGAGCGAAAGCGUGGGGAGCGAACAGG